UGAAACUCUUUUCUGAUCGUC
ensembl:piRNA 21ur-2246 ncRNA